AUCUAAGUACCCAGAGGAAAGGACAUCAAUUGAGACUUCCUUAGUAGUGGCGAGCGAACGGGAACCAGGCCAGUGGCUUUAGUGAGAAAACCGGAACCGUUUGGAAAGACGGGCCAUAGUGGGUGACAGCCCCGUAUUGGAAGCACGAUUUGACGUAUUAAGUAGGGCGGAACACGUGAAAUUCUGUCUGAACAUCGGGGGACCACCCUCGAAGGCUAAGUACUCCUUACUGACCGAUAGCGAA
rnacentral:rRNA from 18 species